GCACUGAUGAUCCAGUGUCCCAUGCCAAAGCAAACUGUCACCCUAAACCAUUGCCUGGCUUUACCGGGUGAGCUUAAGGCGCCGAAGCGGGAUGCACAGUG
rnacentral:snoRNA from 1 species